UGCCUACUGAGCUGAUAACAGUUAGAUGUCAAAACAAGCACUGGCUCAGUUCAGCAGGAAC
ensembl:miRNA gmo-mir-24a-4 gmo-mir-24a-4